rnacentral:rRNA from 1 species
GACGAACGCUGGCGGCGUGCCUAACACAUGCAAGUCGAGCGGGGGUUUAAGUGUAAGUUCUUCGGACUGGAGCUUUAAAUUCUAGCGGCGGACGGGUGAGGCACGCGUGAACAAUCUGUCCCGGACAGGGGGGUAACACUAGGAAACAGGUGCUAAUACCGCAUAAGACCACGGCCUCGCAUGGGGCUGAGGUGAAAGGAGCAAUCCGGUUAGGGGUGAGUUGGGGUACGAUUAGCUAGUUGGUGAGGUAACGGACCACCAAGGCGACGAUCGGUAGCCGGCCUGAGAGGAGGAACGGCCAAAUUGGAACUGAGAGACGGUCGAAACGACUACGGGAGGAAGCAGUGGGGAAUAUUGCGCAAAGGGCGAAAGCCUGAACAAGCAACGCCGAGUGAGGGAAGAAGGUUGUCGGAUUGUAAGGCACUGUCCUAUGGGACGACGGAAGUGACGGUACCAUAAGAGGAAGCCCCGGCUAACUACGUG